CUUGGGUAGGGGAAUGUUAACUGGCUUGCCCAAGGUUUUGCCCAUCCCAAAAGCAUCAGAACCAGAAUUCGAACUGGGGCUACUGAGUCCAUGGCCUUGACCCAGGCUCAGGGCAUGAAUAAGAAGAGUUCACAACCGCAGAACUGCAGCUGGGCUUUUUGGGGGAAUGUGAACGGCCCAGAGAAAGGAUCAUUUGGUGGAAGC
rnacentral:lncRNA from 1 species